rnacentral:lncRNA from 1 species
AUCCUAAGGAGACAUUUGGAUAUUCAUGUCAGUCAUAUUGUUGAUUAUUCUAUUUUGGGAGGUGGUUACUGGGUUAUUUUUAUGGUUCUAACAAUAGGGAUAUCACUCUUCACUGCAUCCUUAAUUGUAGAGGGCCCCAGAAAUGAUUUUUUCUCAGAAAGGAAUCCUCCUACUCCUUGUCUCUGUCUCUCCUGCCAUCACUCACCAGGCUCGUGUUUAUUGAGCACAUGCUGUGCUGAGGGUGAAGGUUUUGUGCUCUGGAGACAGAGAAGUGUCAGUAUAAAUCCUGGUUUCCGGCUCUGGGACCUGAACAUGUUGCUUUAAGUCUUUGAGCUUUCGAUUUUUUCGGAUGGCAAAGGCAAUCCUAGAACCUGACUUAUAGGGCACAUGGCAAGAGUCUCCUUAUCAAGGGAGCACUGGAUAAACAGAGCCACUACCAUUGUUUCUACGGCUGGGCACUGACUUGUCCUUACUGAGUUUAUAAUCUUGCUGGGGAGGCAAGAUGAAGGCUUCUCAGUCAAGGACGUGAUGCAAGAAUGAAUGGGCUUACUGUUCACAAUAGCCAAGACAAGGAAGCAAAUGAAAAGUCCAUCCACAGAGGAAUGGAUAAAGAAGAUGUGGUAUACAUAUGCAAUGGAAUACUAUUCAGCCAUCAAAAAGGAAUGAAAUAAUGCCAUUUGCAGCAACACAGAUGGACCUAGAGAGGAUCAUACUAAGUGAAGUAAAUCAGACAGAAAGACAAAUACUAUAUGAUGUUGUUUAUAUGUGGAAUCUAAAAAAGGAUACAAAGUAACUUACUUACAAAACUGAAAUAGACCCAGAGACAUAGAAAGCAAACUUAUGGUUGCCAAAGGGGAAUGGGGAGGGGAAUGAGAAGAUUGGGAGUAAAAUAUACACACUACUAUAUAUAGAAGAGUUAACUAAGGGAGUUCCUGAUGUGGCUCAGCAGGUUAAGACCUGACAUAGUGUCUGUGAGGAUGCUGGUUCGAUCCCUAGCCUCACUUAGUGAGUUAAGGAUCUGGGGAGUUCCCUAAAUGACUCAGUGGUUAACGAAUCUGACUAGGAACCAUGACCUUGCUCAGUGAGUUAAGGAUCCCUGGCCUUGCUCAGUGGGUUAAGGAUCUGGCAUUGCCGUGAGCUUUGGUGUAGGUGGAAGACGAGAUUUGGAUCCUGCAUUGCUGUGGCUGUGGCAUAGGCUGGUGGCUACAGCUCUGAUUAGACCCCUAAGCUGGGAACCUCCGCAUGCUGCUCAUGCGGCCCUAGAAAAAGACAGAAAGACAAAAAAACAAAAAAAGUAUCUGGUGUUGCCACAAGCUGUGUGUGGCACAGCUUGCAGAUGCGCUUCAGAGCCAGUGUUACUGUGGCUGUGGCCCCAGCUGCAGUUCGGAUUCGACUCCAAGCCCAGGAACUUGCAUGGGCCAUGGGCAUGGCCAAAAAUAAAUAAAUAAGUAAAUAAAUAAAUAAAAAUAGAUAACUAACAAGGACCUACUGUAGAGCACAGGGAAAUUUUCUCAAUAUUCUGUAGGGUUAUAGGAUUUCUCAAUAGCCUAUAAUGGAAGAGGCUGUAGAAAAAGAAUAUAUAUACGUAUAACUUAAUCAUUUUCCUAUACACAUGAAACUAAUGCAAUGUUAUAAAUCAACUGUAUUUCCCUAAAAUUAAAAAAAAAAUGAAGAGGUGUUUCCUUCGUGGCACAGCGGAAAUGAAUCUGACUAGGAACUGUAAGGUUGCAGGUUGGAUUCCUGGCCUUACCCAUGAGCGAGGCCAGGGAUCGAACCCACAUCCUCAUGGUUCCCGGUCGAUUUGUUUCCACUGCACCAUAAUGGGAACGCCUACAUUUUCUAAUUGUGUAUUUAUUUGAGUGUCUAGUGUUUGUCUUCCCACCGGAGUCUAAGUUUCCUGAGAGGAGGGACCACCUCUGUCUCAUUUCCUGUUGUUUCUGGAGUACCUAGCUCCAUACCUGGUAUAUGGUAUGUGGUCAUAAAUACCCUUAAUUAAUUAAUUAAUGUGUUGGCAUGAGGAAAUUCCUGGGGCAAGGAUUGAACUCUUGCCACAGCAGCAAAAAUGCAGAUCCUUAAUCUACGGAGCCAUCAGGGAACUCCUCAUAAAUACCUUUUUAUCAGCUAUAAUGGAAAAAAUAAAAAUUAUUAUUAAAAAAAUAAAUACCUUUCAAAUAAAUGAAUAGUAUAGAGGAGAAUAACUUGUUGGAGGAGUCAUUUGAUUUGGGUUUUGGUGCUAUAACUUGCUGUAUAGUUUUGCUGUAACUUGUGUGAUUUUUAUAAGGAGUAUCAUUUCCUAGCUUACAAGCUCUGAUCAUUUGUUUAAAUCAAAAAACAAAACAAAACAACAACACCAAACCUUGCCCUCAUUCAGGCCUAUUGGGGUGUUCCCUUGUGGUGCAGUAGGUUAAGGACUCAGCAUUGUCACUGUAGUGGCAAAAACAAACAAACAAACAAACAAAAACAACCAAAAACCCUGUUAGGAACUGAUUUUCAGAGGUAUAUGAAUGCUUUUGUCUUAACUUUGGUCAGAGUUUGGUCAGAGUCUUAGGCUUUGUCCAUGUUUUUCUGUGAAGAUAAAUAGAGUUCCUUCAUUGAAGUUUCUGCCUUUGUUUAUCAUGAACCCUGGUGGGCUGGAGUGAAACUAAUUUCCUUUAGGAGUUCUCAUCAUGGUGCAGCGGAAACGAAUCUGACUAGGAACCAUGAGGUGGCAGGUUCGAUCUCUGGCCUUGCUCCAUGGGUUAAGGAUCCGGUGUUGCUGUGAACUGUGGUGUAAGUUGCAGACACAGUUGGAUCCCACGUGGCUGUGGCUGUGGCUAUGGACCCCUAGCCUGGGAACCUCCAUAUGCCAAGCAUGCGGCCCUAAAAAGCAAAAAAAAAAAAAAAA